CUUAACACAUGCAAGUCGCACGGUCGGAGCAAUCCGGCAGUGGCGGACGGGUGAGUAACGCGUAGGAAUCUAUCUCUGGGUGGGGGACAACCGUGGGAAACUACGGCUAAUACCGCAUGAUACCUGAGGGUCAAAGGCGCAAGUCGCCUGGAGAGGAGCCUGCGUACGAUUAGCUUGUUGGUGGGGUAAAGGCCUACCAAGGCGACGAUCGUUAGCUGGUCUGAGAGGAUGAUCAGCCACAUUGGGACUGAGACACGGCCCAAACUCCUACGGGAGGCAGCAGUGGGGAAUAUUGGACAAUGGGCGCAAGCCUGAUCCAGCAAUGCCGCGUGUGUGAAGAAGGUCUUCGGAUUGUAAAGCACUUUUGGCAGGGACGAUGAUGACGGUACCUGCGGAAUAAGCCCCGGCUAACUUCGUGCCAGCAGCCGCGGUAAU
rnacentral:rRNA from 1 species